rnacentral:rRNA from 1 species
AGACGUCUACAUUAGAUACCCCGGUAGUCCCAGCCGUAAACUAUGCGCGUUAGGUGUAUCGGUGACCACGAGUCACCGAGGUGCCGAAGGGAAACCGUGAAACGUGCCGCCUGAGAAGUACGGUCGCAAGGCUGAAACUUAAAGGAAUUGGCGGGGAGCACCACAACGGGUGGAGCCUGCGGUUUAAUUGGACUCAACGCCGGGAAGCUCACCGGAUAAGACAGCGGAAUGAUUGCCGGGCUGAAGACUCUGCAUGACUAGCUG